rnacentral:lncRNA from 1 species
CUGGAACUGCUUCAAAGUCCUUUGUCCUCCUGUGGAUCACGGGAAUUGAAACCUCCGUCCACCCCUUUGAAAUGCUCCAGCACUUAUCUCUCAGGAUGUGUUUCUGGGGCCCUACAAGACAGCGCACUUGUUCUUUCUUUUCCAACAGCUUCGCAGUCUGAGCUCAUUCACUGCAUCCUCAGUGACUCCCUGGCUUUUAGUUUCUUUCCUGCCCUGACCCGUGAAUAUCUCAUUUGUUGGCUUUGUUGUCCCAAUGAGAAGGCAGAUAAGACAGGUGCGGAUAGAACCUUCCUAUGCAGCCCUGUCUAUCUGUGGAAAGUGACACCAUGAAUUUAAGGAUAAUCGCUGGAUGACUUACACAAAAGCCUCUGUGAGUAAAGAGGAUGAUUUGUAAGGUGAGGGAAUGAGGACACUUUAUCACGAGCAUCAGUUUUACAUUUUCAAAUGCAGCCUUCAUCAUAGUCCUGGGACAUGAGCAGGUACUACAUAUAUGAACACCUCCGCUUUACAAGCAAGUUGUAUAAACGUGAAACACACACCUUGAGGAGAGACACUCCAUCCGACGAGGUCACAUCAUUUGAGUAGUUGGCAAAUGAAUAGUAAAACCUCAAAACUCUGGCUGAUAUAAAAUAAGUUGUUUUUCUUCCUUAUCUACAUGGUUGUUGCCAAAUCCUCAUGUAGAGGACGGGGUGAUCACUUCCCAUACGUUUUUAUUUUAAA